rnacentral:lncRNA from 1 species
GGAAAGGAGUCUGAGAUUCUGAAAUUUGGUUCAUCAUCCCACCAUAAGGAGUAAACACUACUAGAGGACUCUCUGCUUCAAAUAACUUCUCCCACAACCCUUCAAGUGCCUUUUCAGGUAUGGGUUUUCUGGCAUAGUCAGAUUUGCCUUUGAAGUAGGCCCUGUCCAUGUUAAUUCUUUGAAGGAAAACUUCAGGAGNNNNNNNNNNNNNNNNNNNNNNNNNNNNNNNNNNNNNNNNNNNNNNNNNNNNNNNNNNNNNNNNNNNNNNNNNNNNNNNNNNNNNNNNNNNNNNNNNNNNNNNNNNNNNNNNNNNNNNNNNNNNNNNNNNNNNNNNNNNNNNNNNNNNNNNNNNNNNNNNNNNNNNNNNNNNNNNNNNNNNNNNNNNNNNNNNNNNNNNNNNNNNNNNNNNNNNNNNNNNNNNNNNNNNNNNNNNNNNNNNNNNNNNNNNNNNNNNNNNNNNNNNNNNNNNNNNNNNNNNNNNNNNNNNNNNNGUAAUAGCUAGUUGAAUAAAAUUAUUAAUAUUAAAAAAUAAAUUUAAAAUAAUAUUUAAAUAUGCACACUGACCAACUAAACUAUUUGCAUGCAAAUUUGUUGUCAUAUGAAAUAAAUAAAUAUAUCAUGUGGAAUAAAUAAAUAUACUAACCUGCUUCAAUUUAUUAUAAUUUUAGAGUUUUAAUGAUGGAGAAAUAUAUCAUAUUAUAUAGUCCAAGAUUCAACGGAUCAUCUAAUAUAUAUAUAUAUACCAGAUUUGAACCUCCAACAUUUAAAUUUUUUGCUUUUCUCAGAAAUUCUGUAGGAAAGUUCGCCAUUCGUGGCUCCCGCCUGAACCCACGCGCUGUUGUGCUCAAUCAACGCUGAUAGACCGUAGCUUUGCAAGGUCUACAACAAUGAAAGAUGUCUCAAUUUCUGAUACAUAAGAGAGUCCCUCAUAAUCAUGGCCUCCGCUACGGACUCUAAUGUGAAUUCCAAGCUGCUUAGAGCAAAUAACAACAGCUUGGAUGUGAGAUUCUUGUAAAGGAGUGAAGAUAAACUCGGGUUUCGGUACUGGAGGCAAGGUGAACCUGAGGUUUUGAGCAGAAGAUUGUAAGACACUAGUGAAAGAAGAGUUUUGUGGAGCAUACAAGACAGUGGAAAAAGGAAAGGAGUAGGACCACAAGUAUUGAAAGUAUGGAAGAUCUUGAAGGCACCAUUUUUCCUGCUUUCUUGCCUCUCUGGCUUGCCUUUAAGAAUUGAUGUCUCAAGGAGUUCUUUUAUAGAGGAGCUAUGAACAAUCAACAGGAAAUUAAAUUAUUUUGUAGCUCGUUUUGUGCAGUGAGAUAUUUACUUGUGAUAUUACAAUGGGAUUAUAUAAAUUUGAAUGAUUCAUAUUCCAUGCAAUAUAGUCAAACUUUUAGACUUUAAAUGUUUAAUUAAUUAAACACAUCUUCCAAUCAUAUUAUACAUAUCAUUAUAGCUAAAGUGAAUAAAUCAAAAAAUUGAGGAUUGAUUUGGAAAUUAACAUAUUUUGGCAUCAUUUUCUUUAAAAUGAAACGACGUGUUUUGUUCAAAACGACACACUUUCAUGUACUGUUUUGAACGACAUUGUAUAUCUUUUUCUUCCCUGACGUGCAAAGGCAAGGGAAGAAGGUUUUUCUUCCCCUCCUUUGCAGCACCCAUAUUCCCUCUUUCUCCCUCUCCCCACUUGUCCAAACCCUGACACAACUCACACCCCUCACCUGCCACCAUGAUGAAGAUUGGACAAGGAAGCGAUACUCUGCAGCUGAGGCGACUGCACAGAGGCCACCCCAGCCACCCUACCUUGUCUCCAUGAUUCGACAAAGGUAGGGUAGCUCCCGCUUCCCCUAUCAUAUAAAUACCCCACUCAACAAGCCGAGAGCAGGGGGGAAAGAAAAACGGGGGAAACAGAAAAGAGAGACGAAAGAGAGAGAAGGAGGGAAGAAAAAGAACAAAACAAACCAAAGGAAAAAAAAUAGAGAAACAGAGACAGAGAGGAGAGAAACAGAGGGAUUGGGAAGGAACAAGAAGCAAAGGAAAAGGAAAGACAGAAAAAGGGUGGAGAAAUAAAGAAAAAAAAACCGAGGGAAGAAGAAACACACAAAAACAAAGGAAAAAAAGAAGAAGAAUCGUCGUUUGGAACAACCAUCCACCACGACAUCAUCGUCACCGAGAGCCACCAGCACCGUCAAUGCCGUCAGUAGGUCAGCCCCCCUCUUCUCCUUCUUCUUCUGCUCAUUUUCUCGUGUCUACUGCCUUGUAGAGCGAACAGUGAAGAGUUGCUCCACUGUUAACUAGGUCGAACAACGCCGAUCCAGAUCAAAAUGGAUGGGCCGGGUCCUGCCCAAUCCGAAAGGAAAAAAAACAUCUGGUGGGCCAAAUCGAGCCAACCCCAAUACCUUGGGCCGAACUCAGCGUAAUUUAUUCUGGGCUGAUUUCGGCCCAGUCAGGAUGGGCUCAGCCAAAUGUAAUUGGGCUAAGCCAAUCCCAAUAUAUUGGUAUAAUAAUGUUAUAUAAUAUAAUAUUAUAUAUUAAAAAAAAGUUUUUUUUAAAAAAAUUCUAAAUCCUUUGAAAAACUUCUUUGGGAUUUUCUCACAAGUUUUUUUUUAUCAUUUUGGGUUCAUAUCGAUUUGUAUUUGUAUACUGUAAAGAUAUAGAUCUGAUAAUAAAAUAUCUGGUUUUGUUUGAAAUAUUGCAAAAAAAUUAUAUCAAAAACAAAAAAAAAUAUUUUUUUUCAUGCAUACGGCCAACUCUGUCAAAAAAUAAAAAAACAUCAUAUUGUACUUUCAUACAACAAAAACAAUUACAGAAAAUGUUUAGCAUGUAUUUUGGCUUUAAUAACCAGUUUAUUAAAGUCAUGAGAAGUAAGCCAACAUUUUAAAAAUACCCAAAAAAUAUUUUUAUUUUUUUAGUAACUGGGAUUCUGAAUUUAUAUGUAAAACGUAUUCCCGAUGUUAAAAUGUAUUUUUUUAUAGACAUUAGAACGGUUAGGUUCUUACCUAAUAAGAUAAGGACCUCUUUACCGAGCAGGACUUUUCUUAACUCAUAGACAGACCAAUAAUUAGAAAACACAACAAGACCUUAGUUUUUUUUAUUAAACGAUAAACAAUGCAGCUUACCUUAGGUAGGGCUUAUUAGGGGUGCUAAUACAUUCCCUUUAUGCAACCAGUCUUCAUGCCCGAUCCCUGAGACCAGUUAGGGUUUCUGAUGAUCAAAAUACUAGGUGGCGACUCUCAUUUCCCUUUUUCAUGGAUGAAAGACAAGAAAUCCUUGUCUACUCUAUUUUUCAAUUUCCAAAUACUUAAAAGAGUGGACGAUUGUUGCGAUGCCGCACACGUGUGACAGACCACAUGGACCACCAAGGGUUAACAAUAACUGCUCAUACAAUCACCUAAGUUGAGUCGUCAUGUACCAAAGUUAAGCCAUCUCAGAACUAAGCUGGGAUGUCUGAGCCUUAACUUAUUCUCGUACAAUCGCCUAGAUGACUAAAGAUUGGGGGCGUAAACCCAAUUACGAGGAACAAAAGGUCGAUACACUAGGACUCAUCUGUAUAUCCUUAAUCAUAGUGUUAGAGAUACCAUAAAUUCAAUUUAUAUCGAGUCCACCAGACGAUCCAGCGUCCAACCACAAAUCCAAAUCGAGUUUUGGAUGGGUCGAAGGAUCAUCCUUGUAUCUCUCCUGCAAACGGGUAUUAUAUGUUUCCUGAAAAAAGAAAAAAAACAAUCAACAAAUUAAAAAAAUAAUAACAUAAUAAAAAAAAUUGUUAAAAUUCAAUUUACCAUGAACUUUUGAGCUUGGCUAUCCACAAGCUAUUAUACCCCUUUCCAUCAGUUGUCAUUUUGCAUGUGAGUUUUAACAAAAAGAUUUAUCGGUCUUGGAUCAUGUCCAAGAACUGUAACCUGCAAAAGAGAGUUACUGUUUGUUAAACAUUAAAUAUUUUAUAUAAAACAACAAUCUAAAAAAAAUAUACAUAAUAAAACAAUAUCUUACCAUCCUCUUUACAAGCGAAAUGAACAAAAUGAAUUUAGUAAGAGUUUAGACACAUGUCAAUUAACUAGUAUUCUAGGCCAAAGGGUUUCAUCAUGGAUUUAGCAGUAUAUAAGUUCGCUUUCAGCCUAUUCCCUUUAGAUAAAAUGCUUCUUGUUCAUUCGAUCAUUUUGUCGUAACCGCCCUAGCUCAACCCAUGAUCUAACUUAAUGGUGAACACCUGUGCAACAAUCGAUAAUUUACUAUGAUUUGUGGAACCAUACCAUAAUGGUUCGUCAAAAUCUUUCAAUUAGUUCUUCAUCUACAAUUGAACAUUCACAUGCAUUACCCUAAUUCAUUCUCAUUGCAUCCAUAAUCAUACUCCUAUAACGAUUAUUAUUAUCAUUUACAAUUCCAUUAUUGCUAGAACUAAAAGUCGACCCAAGCAUCCUUUAUACCAUGAUCUUGUACAGAACAUAUGAUUCUACAUGUGCAAACCAACACAAGUACUUCUUUAAGCACUUUUUUUUUCUAGAAGAUGUAUCGUAAUAACAUCUAGAUCGAGAAACUUUUAUUUUUACACCUUUUACAUGGAAAUUUAAUACCGCAUCCACUAAUAUUUUUGGAUUAGAUAGUGUGUAUUUAAUAAAACGCUUAACCCCAUUAUAAUAAUUUAUUUCGCGCAACCUUUAAGGUGAAACUCGAUACAUCCAAGGACGAUCGACAAUUACAUAUAUGAAACCUAUAUAGAAUAUUAAUGACAACAUGUAUUAAUUAAUAAUGUGAACUAAAGAAAUUAUCGAUGCCCAACUAAUUAACUAUCAUUAGUUUAACUCAAAUUUAUUCACUCUAUUUUAACAGUACCCUUAAAUCAUUAUUAAUUUUCUACAAAAGCUCAAAUUCCUUCAAAUUUGUUGAGAUUUUCAAUUUAACAAAAAAUUGAUAAAAUAUGAAAUGUACCUAUUAAAUAAGCCAUUAUUUAUGUCAUCAUGUAAUUUUUUAUUCUUUCUUUAUUUUUGUGUAGUAAAAAACUAAAUGAAAUUAUGGAAAAAAUAAAAUGAAAGAAGAAUAAAUUGAAAUUUGGUUCAAGACAACACAAAUUAAAAGCUUUGAGUAUUAAUGAGGGUGAAAUUAUAAAUCUAGGAGUUAAUUUUGGUAGAAAUUCAAAGAAUUAAUAAGUUUAGAGACUUAAUUGAACUUUGAAUAGUUUAAUUAAUGAAAUCAGGGGCUUAAUUGAAGAAAUACCAAUGUUUGGGGGCUGAUUUGGGUCAAAAUUGCAAGAAUUGAAGUCCAAGGACCAAAGUGAAAAUUCAGGGGUACAAUAGGUAGUUUAAUUGAUUUUUUCAAGGGUAAUUUUGAAAGAAUUAAAAGUUAAAGAGUCAAUUAAGAACUGAAUUAGAAACUAAGGACUCUUUUGUAAAUAGCGUUGGAAUGCAAGGGUCCAAUUGCAAUUAAUCCAGGAGCAAAAAAAAAAAUAUAAUGAAGAAGAAAUUUCCUUAAAUAAGGGCCUGAUUGAAAGAUAUCAGAACUUCAGUGUCCAAAUUGAAGAAUGACCAACUCAGUCGAAAACAAUAUUGUUUCUACAUGUACUGUUUCUUCUUCUUGUUCCUCUGGAACUGAAAAUCCGCCUACGAAAAAGGGAAAGAAGAGUGAAAUGAUGGUGUCCCCAUCCUACCCAACACCACAGCCAAGGUCACCCCAUAUGGCUGGGCUAGAUCCAACCAAAAAAUGACAGAUAUUUGUUGUUUCUAUCAUAGAAAAUUAAAGGCCACCAUGAUGUCUCUGUGUGACAAUUUAUUUUAUUAUAAAACACAUAAGUUACAAAAUCAAACUCAUUUUCAUCAAAUGACAAACAAAUAUAAUUUUUUAAAAUUUCAAACAAACCAUAACAUGCACAAAUCAUAUAAUAAAUUUAUAUGGAAAAACGCUAUAAAACAAGUAAACACACAAACGAAUUACAUAUACUACAUCAAAAUGCAAAAAAAAAAAAUCAAUAUUUUGAAAAUGGAUUACAAAAAAAAAAAAAAGGUAGUUUUGUUACUUGAUGUGGUGAAUAUUCAAAAAACAUUGAACCAGAAUAGGGUUACUGACAAACUUAGUGUUGGGGUGACUAGAUUCAUAAUGAUGAUAGCUUGAUUUGUGACAAAAUAUGUGGGUAUUGUGUGUUGUUUUCUACAAAAUGAAAAGGAAGAAGAAGAAAUUAGGGAGGAGGAGAGGAGGGUUGUCUAUCAAGAUAUAACAUAAAUAUUAUCGACAGACGACGAGUAUUAAUAAAGAGUAUAUUUUCUCGGUAAUUCCAUUUGUAAUAAUGGCACUUUAUUUUUUUCAUUCAUUCAUUUCUUACUGUAUUUUUCUUAGUAUUCACCGAUGAAAAAUUUAUAUCAGUAUAUACUGAGAGAAAUAGCGAGGAAAUAUUCCGUUAAUAAAAGUCAUUGUGAUUUAUUGACGAGUUUUUUUUUUUAGUAUUUCUAUUUAUAUUUGACAAUUUUCUAAUUGUGAUAUAUAUUGGACAAUGAACCGUGAAUCGCUGUCUCUCUUCUAAUUUAAUUUUAAUUUUGUAAGUUUGAUGAAAACAGUGGCAAAACCGCCAAACCUCAAGAAUGGUGUUUCCUUGUGAUCAUUUUUAUUUUAAACAUUUUUCAACAUUCUUCCUCAACAAAUUGGACUAUUUAAUGCAAAGCUUUUAUUUAUAAUAAAAAAACCGCAAGACAGCAUAAUUGCACAGCAUGACAUUUCUUUAUUUAGCUAAAGUAUUAAAACAAAAGGUCCCUGCUCCUAUCAUGACUUGUGAGAAUAGUGAUCCAACUAAGCUUUGCUGGAGAUGAAUUCCACUUCAUUUCUUAAUCCCAUUUGUUGUGGAAGAGGUGGGAUGCUUUGUUCGUGUCUGAAGAAAUUAUCAGGAUCAACUUUGGUCUUCACAUGCACCAACCUGUUGAAGUUAUCCUUGAAGUAGUUGGUACCAAAAGCACUCGCUUCGACAAAACUUGUUUUAGAAUUUCUGUUCAUGCCCAAAUCAAGAUCCCUGUAAUUAGCAUAUGCUUCCCUAGGAUUCUUUGAGACAUAAGGUGUCAUGUAACUGUAAACCUUCCUAGUCCAAUUUAUAUGCUUUGCAACGUUUUCCGUUGCAUCUUGCCAACUGGACCAGUAAAGGAUCAUGAACUUGGUACCUUUUCUAUGAGGGAAAGGAGUCUGAGAUUCUGAAAUUUGGUUCAUCAUGCCACCAUAAGGAGUAAACACUACUAGAGGACUCUCUGCUUCAAAUAACUUCUCCCACAACCCUUCAAGUGCCUUUUCAGGUAUGGGUUUUCUGGCAUAGUCAGAUUUGCCUUUGAAGUAGGCCCUGUCCAUGUUAAUUCUUUGAAGGAGAACUUCAGGAGGAGUAUUAUUUGCAAAGCCUGACAUGUAUACAGUAGAAUUGAUCCAGUUUGUUUCGAUACAAUCCUGU